GACGAACGCUGGCGGCGUGCUUAACACAUGCAAGUCGAACGGACAGGCCAUGCUUUUGUGGGGUGCUCGAGUGGCGAACGGGUGAGUAACACGUGAGUAUCCUGCCCUUGACUUUCGGAUAACUUCAGGAAACUGGGGCUAAUACCGGAUAGGAGAUCCUGCUGCAUGGUGGGGGUUAGAAAGUUUCGGCGGUUGGGGAUGGACUCGCGGCUUAUCAGCUUGUUGGUGGGGUAGUCGCUUACAAAGGGUUUGACGGGUAGCCGGCCUGAGAGGGUGACCGGCCUCAUGGGUACUGCGAUAGGGCCCAGACUCCUACGGUAGGCAGCAGUGGGGAGUAUGGCACAAUGGGCGGAAGCCUGAUGCAGCAACGCCGCGUGCGGGAUGACGGCUUUCUGGUUGUAAACCGCUUUCGCCGGUGACGAAGGGUGAGUGACGGUAAUGGGUAAAGAAGCACCGGCUAACUACGUG
rnacentral:rRNA from 1 species